rnacentral:ribozyme from 12 species
UAAAUAAAAAAGAAUUAAAACAAAAAUAUUAAUAAAAAAUCUUGAUGCGCAUUAAUUGUCUACGAUAAGAUUUUUCUUUUCUCUCUUCUCACUCUUCUUUCACUCUCAU